CCUACGGGAGGCAGCAGUAGGGAAUCUUCCACAAUGGGCGCAAGCCUGAUGGAGCAACACCGCGUGAGUGAAGAAGGGUUUCGGCUCGUAAAGCUCUGUUGUUGGAGAAGAACGUGCGUGAGAGUAACUGUUCACGCAGUGACGGUAUCCAACCAGAAAGUCACGGCUAACUACGUGCCAGCAGCCGCGGUAAUACGUAGGUGGGAAGCGUUAUCCGGGUUUAUUGGGCGUAAAGCGAGAGCAGGCGGUUGCUUAGGUCUGAUGUGAAAGCCUUCGGCUUAACCGAAGAAGUGCAUCGGAAACCGGGCAACUUGAGUGCAGAAGAGGACAGUGGAACUCCAUGUGUAGCGGUGGAAUGCGUAGAUAUAUGGAAGAACACCAGUGGCGAAGGCGGCUGUCUGGUCUGCAACUGACGCUGAGGCUCGAAAGCAUGGGUAGCGAACAGGAUUAGAUACCCGAGUAGUC
rnacentral:rRNA from 1 species